CCUACGGGCCGCACCAGUAGGGAAUCUUCGGCAAUGGACGAAAGUCUGACCGAGCAACGCCGCGUGAGUGAAGAAGGUUUUCGGAUCGUAAAACUCUGUUGGUAGAGAAGAACGUUGGUGAGAGUGGAAAGCUCAUCAAGUGACGGUAACUACCCAGAAAGGGACGGCUAACUACGUGCCAGCAGCCGCGGUAAUACGUAGGUCCCGAGCGUUGUCCGGAUUUAUUGGGCGUAAAGCGAGCGCAGGUGGUUUAUUAAGUCUGGUGUAAAAGGCAGUGGCUCAACCAUUGUAUGCAUUGGAAACUGGUAGACUUGAGUGCAGGAGAGGAGAGUGGAAUUCCAUGUGUAGCGGUGAAAUGCGUAGAUAUAUGGAGGAACACCGGUGGCGAAAGCGGCUCUCUGGUCUGUAACUGACGCUGAGGCGCGAAAGCGUGAGGAGCAAACAGGAUUAGAUACCCGCGUAGUC
rnacentral:rRNA from 1 species